UACGGAGGGUGCAAGCGUUAUCCGGAUUCACUGGGUUUAAAGGGAGCGUAGGUGGCUUUGUAAGUCAGUGGUGAAAUACCGCAGCUCAACUGCGGAACUGCCAUUGAUACUGCUUAGCUUGAAUCACGUCGAGGUGGAUGGAAUAAUACAUGUAGCGGUGAAAUGCUUAGAUAUGUAUUAGAACACCGAUUGCGAAGGCAGUUCACUAGGCGUGUAUUGACACUGAGGCUCGAAAGCGUGGGGAUCAAACAGG
rnacentral:rRNA from 1 species